rnacentral:rRNA from 1 species
CGGCGAGUGAAGCGGCAACAGCUCAAAUUUGAAAUCUGGCCCUCGGGUCCGAGUUGUAAUUUGUAGAGGAUGCUUUUGGUGCGGUGCCUUCCGAGUUCCCUGGAACGGGACGCCAUAGAGGGUGAGAGCCCCGUCUGGUCGGACACCUAUCCUCUGUAAAGCUCCUUCGACGAGUCGAGUAGUUUGGGAAUGCUGCUCUAAAUGGGAGGUAUAUGUCUUCUAAAGCUAAAUACCGGCCAGAGACCGAUAGCGCACAAGUAGAGUGAUCGAAAGAUGAAAAGCACUUUGAAAAGAGGGUUAAAUAGUACGUGAAAUUGUUGAAAGGGAAGCGCUUGUGACCAGACUUGAGCCCGGUUAAUCACCCAGCCUUCUGGCUGGUGCACUUGGCCGGCUCAGGCCAGCAUCAGUUCGGCGCGGGGGAUAAAGGCGGCGGGAAUGUGGCUCCCCCGGGAGUGUUAUAGCCCGCCGCGCAAUACCCUGCGCUGGACUGAGGUUCGCGCAUCUGCAAGGAUGCUGGCGUAAUGGUUAUCAGCGACCCGUCUUGAAACACGGACCAAGGAGUCGUCUUCGUAUGCGAGUGUUCGGGUGUCAAACCCCUACGCGUAAUGAAAGUGAACGCAGGUGAGAGCUUCGGCGCAUCAUCGACCGAUCCUGAUGUUCUCGGAUGGAUUUGAGUAAGAGCAUACGGAGCCGGACCCGAAAGAAGGUGAACUAUGCCUGUAUAGGGUGAAGCCAGAGGAAACUCUGGUGGAGGCUCGCAGCGGUUCUGACGUGCAAAUCGAUCGUCAAAUAU